GUACUUAAGCUUCUCUUCAACCCAAAGCCACAAUGUAAAAAGAAUCAGACUAUUAACUGGGAACGAACUCCAAGAUAAGUUACCUAAAUAUGCUUGAAUUUUUGGGGGAAUUAUUCGGAGAUUGAAUUGGAAUGGAUAGGAAAUUGAGAGAAGAAUGACAGAACCAGAAAGAGACACUGCAUUUAGAUUGCAAGAAAGAGAGACAGAGUGGAGGUCUUGCAGUAUUCUUUUAGAGACCCCACUGGAUCCAACGCUUCAACGCCGGCGCGCCCGCAUUCCUGCUUCUGUUCCCACAGGACGUGAUCGCAUGAGUUGAUUGACGGCACAGAAAUAUGCUUAUAUUGUAAGCAUUGAUGAUAAAAUUCAGCUACGUGUUUAAUCAUUUAUAUGCAUGGAGGUCUAGGAAAAUUUUGUCUGAGCUAUCUAUUUAUGAACCAUAUUGUUACUAUGGAAGCUCCUGUAGACAAAUCUUUGUGAUGCCUUCCCUGGAAACAAAAAAUGGUGCAUCCACGGCCACGAAGGUAGAUGUUUCAGUUGUUUUGUAAUGGAUAAUGGAUAAUUUGAGGGUGCCACUGGACUGUUUUUUGUAAGAUUCAAGUGUCAAUUUAUGCAUUUGGCCUUGUAAAUAUCUAAAACCUGUUACACCUUACGUGCAGAUAGCCUCAAGGUACUUGAAUCAUAUUAAUAGUCACAAAUGAAACAUCGCAGAAUAUGAGACAUUUAGAACACAUUAUAAUAGUCUACUAUAAGUAAUGUCUGGAUAUCUCUAUUAGUUUUUAUAAUAUGCUUUUUAAAAUC